GGUUCCAUAGUGUAGUGGUUAGUACGUCUGCUUUACAUGCAGAAGAUCCUGGGUUCACGACCCAGUGGAGCCA
rnacentral:tRNA from 1 species